GGUUGUGAGGUCGAUAUUGGUUUAAGCGGCGGCAGUCUGUAAAACUGUACAUCCCCUUGAGGGAGUGGUGGUUCGAUUCCACCCACAACCACCA
rnacentral:tRNA from 1 species